rnacentral:rRNA from 1 species
UACGUAGGGGUGCGAGCGUUGUCCGGAUUUAUUGGGCGUAAAGAGCUCGUAGGCGGUUUUGUCGCGCGGCCGUGAAAACCUAAGGCUCAACCUUGGGCUUGCAGUGGGUACGGGCAGACUGGAGUGCGGGUAGGGGGAGAUCGGGAAUUCCUGGUGUAGCGGUGAAAUGCGCAGAUAUCAAGGAGGAACACCGGUGGCGAAGGCGGCAUCCUGGACCGGUAUUGACGCUGAGGCGCGAAAGCUAGGGGAGCAAACGGG